GUAACAAGGUCUCCGUUGGUGAACCAGCGGAGGGAUCAUUACCGAGUUUACAACUCCCAAACCCCUGUGAACAUACCUAUCGUUGCUUCGGCGGGAUCGCCCCGGCGCCAUCGCGGCCCGGACCCAGGCGCCCGCCGGAGGACCCAAACUCUUGAAUUUAUGAAGUAUCUUCUGAGUAAACAAGCAAAUAAAUUAAAACUUUCAACAACGGAUCUCUUGGUUCUGGCAUCGAUGAAGAACGCAGCGAAAUGCGAUAAGUAAUGUGAAUUGCAGAAUUCCGUGAAUCAUCGAAUCUUUGAACGCACAUUGCGCCCGCCAGUAUUCUGGCGGGCAUGCCUGUUCGAGCGUCAUUUCAACCCUCAAGCCCCCGGGCUUGGUGUUGGGGCUCGGCCCGUCCCUAGCGGCGGCGCCGUCCCCUAAAUUUAUUGGCGGUCUCGCUGCAGCCUCCUCUGCGUAGUAGCUAACACCUCGCAACGGGAACUCAGCGCGGCCACGCCGUUAAACCCCCCAACUUCUGAAAGGUUGACCUCGGAUCAGGUAGGAAUACCCGCUGAACUUAAGCAUAUCA
rnacentral:rRNA from 1 species